CAGGGAGACAACAAAAUGUUUAAUAUUAUUAUUUUGUCACCUUAGGUCGAUCGGUAUCUCACAUUCUUAAUUUAUUAAGGAUUUCAUUUCCUAAGUUUUUCUAGGUCACACCCAUUAUUUUUCCUGGGCCAUUAGCUCAGGUGGUUAGAGCGCACCCCUGAUAAGGGUGAGGUCCCUGGUUCAAGUCCAGGAUGGCCCAUAUCUCUAUGUUGGGGGUAUAGCUCAGUUGGUAGAGCGCCUGCUUUGCAAGCAGGAUGUCAGCGGUUCGAGUCCGCUUACCUCCACUGAUUACCACCUCUUCCAUAAUCUGAUUAAGGAAAUGUUUUGAGUUGUGAUCAAAUUCUGAACGAUUCUAGCUUCCUAAUGAAAUCAUUAAGAUGCUGGACUCAUUGAAUUAAUUUCAUUGAUUUCAGAGAACCUUGACAACUGCAUAGAUUAUUUUUAAAGACAAUAAGCAUCUUUUAAUGAUGCAGAUUUAUUAUUUGUGCGAAUGCAUUAAAUAACAAUUCUAUUAAGCUGAUGCUUCAAUUAUUGAAGUUAUU
rnacentral:tRNA from 1 species